GUGACUGCGUACCUUUUGUAUAAUGGGUCAGCGACUUAUAUUCUGUAGCAAGGUUAACCGAAUAGGGGAGCCGAAGGGAAACCGAGUCUUAACUGGGCGUUAAGUUGCAGGGUAUAGACCCGAAACCCGGUGAUCUAGCCAUGGGCAGGUUGAAGGUUGGGUAACACUAACUGGAGGACCGAACCGACUAAUGUUGAAAAAUUAGCGGAUGACUUGUGGCUGGGGGUGAAAGGCCAAUCAAACCGGGAGAUAGCUGGUUCUCCCCGAAAGCUAUUUAGGUAGCGCCUCGUGAACUCAUCUCCGGGGGUAGAGCACUGUUUCGGCAAGGGGGUCAUCCCGACUUACCAACCCGAUGCAAACUGCGAAUACCGGAGAAUGUUAUCACGGGAGACACACGGCGGGUGCUAACGUCCGUCGUGAAGAGGGAAACAACCCAGACCGCCAGCUAAGGUCCCAAAGUCAUGGUUAAGUGGGAAACGAUGUGGGAAGGCCCAGACAGCCAGGAUGUUGGCUUAGAAGCAGCCAUCAUUUAAAGAAAGCGUAAUAGCUCACUGGUCGAGUCGGCCUGCGCGGAAGAUGUAACGGGGCUAAACCAUGCACCGAAGCUGCGGCAGCGACGCUUAUGCGUUGUUGGGUAGGGGAGCGUUCUGUAAGCCUGUGAAGGUGUGCUGUGAGGCAUGCUGGAGGUAUCAGAAGUGCGAAUGCUGACAUAAGUAACGAUAAAGCGGGUGAAAAGCCCGCUCGCCGGAAGACCAAGGGUUCCUGUCCAACGUUAAUCGGGGCAGGGUGAGUCGACCCCUAAGGCGAGGCCGAAAGGCGUAGUCGAUGGGAAACAGGUUAAUAUUCCUGUACUUGGUGUUACUGCGAAGGGGGGACGGAGAAGGCUAUGUUGGCCGGGCGACGGUUGUCCCGGUUUAAGCGUGUAGGCUGGUUUUCCAGGCAAAUCCGGAAAAUCAAGGCUGAGGCGUGAUGACGAGGCACUACGGUGCUGAAGCAACAAAUGCCCUGCUUCCAGGAAAAGCCUCUAAGCAUCAGGUAACAUCAAAUCGUACCCCAAACCGACACAGGUGGUCAGGUAGAGAAUACCAAGGCGCUUGAGAGAACUCGGGUGAAGGAACUAGGCAAAAUGGUGCCGUAACUUCGGGAGAAGGCACGCUGAUAUGUAGGUGAAGUCCCUCGCGGAUGGAGCUGAAAUCAGUCGAAGAUACCAGCUGGCUGCAACUGUUUAUUAAAAACACAGCACUGUGCAAACACGAAAGUGGACGUAUACGGUGUGACGCCUGCCCGGUGCCGGAAGGUUAAUUGAUGGGGUCAGCGCAAGCGAAGCUCUUGAUCGAAGCCCCGGUAAACGGCGGCCGUAACUAUAACGGUCCUAAGGUAGCGAAAUUCCUUGUCGGGUAAGUUCCGACCUGCACGAAUGGCGUAAUGAUGGCCAGGCUGUCUCCACCCGAGACUCAGUGAAAUUGAACUCGCUGUGAAGAUGCAGUGUACCCGCGGCAAGACGGAAAGACCCCGUGAACCUUUACUAUAGCUUGACACUGAACAUUGAGCCUUGAUGUGUAGGAUAGGUGGGAGGCUUAGAAGUGUGGACGCCAGUCUGCAUGGAGCCGACCUUGAAAUACCACCCUUUAAUGUUUGAUGUUCUAACGUUGACCCGUAAUCCGGGUUGCGGACAGUGUCUGGUGGGUAGUUUGACUGGGGCGGUCUCCUCCUAAAGAGUAACGGAGGAGCACGAAGGUUGGCUAAUCCUGGUCGGACAUCAGGAGGUUAGUGCAAUGGCAUAAGCCAGCUUGACUGCGAGCGUGACGGCGCGAGCAGGUGCGAAAGCAGGUCAUAGUGAUCCGGUGGUUCUGAAUGGAAGGGCCAUCGCUCAACGGAUAAAAGGUACUCCGGGGAUAACAGGCUGAUACCGCCCAAGAGUUCAUAUCGACGGCGGUGUUUGGCACCUCGAUGUCGGCUCAUCACAUCCUGGGGCUGAAGUAGGUCCCAAGGGUAUGGCUGUUCGCCAUUUAAAGUGGUACGCGAGCUGGGUUUAGAACGUCGUGAGACAGUUCGGUCCCUAUCUGCCGUGGGCGCUGGAGAACUGAGGGGGGCUGCUCCUAGUACGAGAGGACCGGAGUGGACGCAUCACUGGUGUUCGGGUUGUCAUGCCAAUGGCACUGCCCGGUAGCUAAAUGCGGAAGAGAUAAGUGCUGAAAGCAUCUAAGCACGAAACUUGCCCCGAGAUGAGUUCUCCCUGACCCUUUAAGGGUCCUGAAGGAACGUUGAAGACGACGACGUUGAUAGGCCGGGUGUGUAAGCGCAGCGAUGCGUUGAGCUAACCGGUACUAAUGAACCGUGAGGCUUAACCUUACAACGCCGAAGGUGUUU
rnacentral:rRNA from 1 species